GACGAACGCUGGCGGCGUGCUUAACACAUGCAAGUCGAACGAAGUGGCGAACGGGUGAGUAACGCGUAAUCAACCUGCCCUUCAGAGGGGGACAACAGUUGGACACGACUGCUAAUACCGAAUACUGCAGGAGGGGAUUGCGUCUGAUUAGUUAGUUGGAGGGGUAACGGCCCACCAAGGCGAUGAUCAGUAGCCGGUCUGAUAUGGUGAACGGCCACAUUGGGACUGAGACACGGCCCAGACUCCUACGGGAGGCAGCAGUGGGGAAGCUUCCGCAAGUGACGAAAGUCUGACGGAGCAACGCCGAGUGAGUGAUGACGGCCUUCGGGUUGUAAAGCGCUGUUUAUCGGGACGCGUUACCUGAUUAGAAAGCCACGGCUAACUACGUGCCAGCAGCCGCGGUAAUAG
rnacentral:rRNA from 1 species